rnacentral:ncRNA from 1 species
AAUAGAUAAAGGCAAACCCUUUGAAAGAUUGGGACGCAAAGCUACAGGUCUAAGGUUUUAUACUAUGAUGGCUGAGUUACCUAA